UACGUAGGGACCAAGCGUUGUUCGGAUUUACUGGGCGUAAGGGCGCGUAGGCGGCGUGGUAAGUCACUUGUGAAAUCUCUGAGCUUAACUCAGAACGGCCAAGUGAUACUGCUGUGCUAGAGUGCAGAAGGGGCAAUCGGAAUUCUUGGUGUAGCGGUGAAAUGCGUAGAUAUCAAGAGGAACACCUGAGGUGAAGACGGGUUGCUGGGCUGACACUGACGCUGAGGCGCGAAAGCCAGGGGAGCAAACGGG
rnacentral:rRNA from 1 species